CCUACGGGUGGCAGCAGUGAGGAAUAUUGGUCAAUGGACGCAAGUCUGAACCAGCCAUGCAGCGUGCAGGAAGACGGCCCUAUGAGUUGUAAACUGCUUUUGUACGAGGGUAAACUCCGAUACGCGUAUCUUUCUGAACGUAUCGUACGAAUAAGGAUCGGCUAACUCCGUGCCAGCAGCCGCGGUAAUACGGAGGAUUCGAGCGUUAUCCGGAUUUAUUGGGUUUAAAGGGUGCGUAGGCAGUAGGAUAAGUUAGAGGUGAAAUCCCGCGGCUCAACUUCGGAAUUGCCGCUGAUACUGUUAGGCUAGAGAGUAGUUGCGGUAGGCGGAAUGUAUGGUGUAGCGGUGAAAUGCUUAGAGAUCAUACAGAACACCGAUUGCGAAGGCAGCUUACCAAGCUACGUCUGACGCUGAGGCACGAAAGCGUGGGGAGCAAACAGGAUUAGAUACCCGGGUAGUC
rnacentral:rRNA from 1 species